UACGUAGGGGCCUAGCGUUGUCCGGAUUUAUUGGGCGUAAAGAGCUCGUAGGCGGUUCGGUAAGUCAGGUGCGAAAUCUCCACGCUCAACGUGGAGGCGCCACCUGAAACUGCCGUGACUCGAGUCCGGUAGGGGAGUGUGGAAUUCCUGGUGUAGCGGUGAAAUGCGCAGAUAUCGAGAGGAACGCCGGUGGCGAAAGCGAUUCUCUGGCCCGUUCCUGACACUGAUGCGCGAGAGCUAGGGGAGCAAACAGG
rnacentral:rRNA from 1 species